rnacentral:rRNA from 1 species
GACGAACGCUGGCGGCGUGCCUAAUACAUGCAAGUCGGACGCAGUUGCGAACGGUUGAGUCACGCAUAGUUAACUACAUAUUAUAGGGGGAUAACUAUUGGAAACGAUAGCUAAUACCGCAUACUAGUAGAUGGACCUGCGUUGUAUUAGCUAGUAGGUCGGGUAAUGGCCUACCUAGGCAACGAUACAUAGCCGAGCUGGGAUGGGUGUCAGGCAAACUUGGACUGGGACAACGGCCAGAAUCCUACGGGAGGGAGCAGGAGGGAAUCUUCGGCAAAGGGGGGAACCCUGAACGAGGAACGCCGGGGGAGGGAAGAAGGGUUUCGGGUCGGAAAGCUAUGUUGUUAAGGAAGCGGUACUUAACCAGAAAGGGACGGCUAACUACGUGCCAGCAGCCGCGGUAAUAC